GGGUAUUAAAAUCCUAAUGCUGAUACAUUUCCUUUCCAAUUUUAUAGGAGAAAUUUAGGUGGACAUGAGCAUGGUACGCUUUCCACUGUACGUGGUAGGAGCCUUUCCGCAGUACAUGGUGGGAGCCUUUCCACAGUACAUGGUGGGAAGCGAAGAAGAGAAGCAUGUCAGAGUGUGAGGUGUGGUGGUCGUGAGUUGUACAAACACAUAUGGCAUUCUCCUCAUGGUAGUGUGAAUAAAGAUCUAAUGGGGCCAAAGGUAAUGGAGAAAAUAGAAAAUUACUUUGUAAGUAUCCGUGGCCUCCCUCAACCCUUUGUUUUCUUCCAAGGAGAAAAAAGUCUUUCUGGUUGAAUCUCAUUUUCUGUGCAGAGUUUAAGUGAUGGGAUGAUUCUUACAAGAAAAGCAGUCAAAGCCCAGGGUAAAACAAACAUGGAGGGAAAGUCAUGUAGCAGGGAGAGUGUCUGUAGGCAGCCCGAGCUGUUGGGGAGAGACUGGUAGGAGGGUCCCUCUCUACAAGGAGGCAGAUGAGAGAGAGAGUAGAAGAGGGAAGAUCACUUUGAGGGGCCAAGUCAAGUUUAUAAAGAGUUGAGGAGUAAGAAAACGGUCCAUUAAAAAGAAUGUUAAGUCAUGUGGCUUAUAUUAACAACACACAAUCUGUUUGUAGGCAUUUUCCCCCACCAAGAGACUUAGUAAAGAUUCCAACUGCUUUUAUUUACUAUUUGAAAAUAGGCCAUUUGGGAAUAGGGACUCAAUUAUAUUUAGAUUCUAAUUAAAUAACCUAUCGAUUUGGAAUACUAUUAUCUAUUUAUUAGCCUAAAUUACUUCUCCUACUACUUUCUUUAUUUUAAAUUUUGAUAAUACACUUUCCUAAGUAGUAAUAAAUCUGAGAAAUAUUUCAGAAAUGUAUUUUUAAAUCAAUAAAAAAAAUAAAGUUCUAGCCGGGUACCAGGCCUCCUGCCAAGUACAGUAAUUGUUACUUGUGGAAUUUUCUUAGAAUGGCCAAGGCAUUUGACUCAAUAACCAUAACUCUGGAACGAGUAGCUGGGUGGAGACAUUCGUCUGUUGGAAAGUUGGUGGGCAGGUCAAGCCCAUAUGCUGGAAGAAGAGAUUUAUGGAUGGAUUCACUCAGCACAUCCAAGAAAUGGGUGUGGCCACGUGUGGAGCAAACCUGAAGAAAUGCAGGCUUACAGGUGUAAGCAGCUAAAUCGCAAACGGCAUGGCCCGAGGGCCAAAGAUAAAUGAAUAAAUAAAAUCUUUCCACAAAAGCCAUUUAGCCUUGAUAACUGAGUGAUAAGCGCCAUGGUACAGGAUAACGUGACAAACAGGGAAGACUUGGCUACUGAAAACUGCACUGGAGAGAUUAAAAAAAGAAAUGAGAAAUUGAGGGCUUUAAAUUUUCCACUCACUACGAUGAGGGAACCAGCGAAUUUUGAGCCUUAAAAGAAUUUUCUUUUGAUUUUGUGGGUUUUGGUAGCCAGAAAUCAAUCACAGAGUCUGACCCUAUGGUAGCCUAUCAAAUUACAGCAUAGGUUGAAUUCACAGACUUGCCAGAUUCCUUAUAUGAAACUGCAUCACUUGGGAAAGAGGAAGGCUCAGAGAAUUGGAGAGGCGAACCUUGGAAAGAUUUGGAAAAUUCUCCUAAUUCGACACUAAAGCCACUGACCAUCUAUGACAGCAAAUGUGGCCCCUCCUACCUCGUGUACUGGUCUUUCCCCGCCUUAGAAACCUUUGCUUAUGUAGUCACCUUGCCUGGGGAUGCUAAUUUGCUUCAUGUCCCCUCCUGCCUCCACCAUUUCCUCCAGACCCAGAAGCAGAAUCUGACCUCAGAUACCGCACGGUCCCAGUGACAAAGCCAUGCCUCAAAGAAAAAUGGUGUGCACUUCAAAACACUGCAACAUUUUAUUAAAGGAGAAGUGUGCUGACACUCACAAUAUUUGGAGAUCUCACCAGGUACCCCAUUGCACAGGAGUCAGCCUCAUAGAGAAUGAAAUGGCUUCUUGAAACCAGCACUUGUGGGGCUAGCUGGAGCUCCACAUCUUGUGAGUUGGGAUCUGCAUAGAAGAGGAAAUCUCUUCCCACCCAGUGACCAAUGUAUGUGUGGUCAGGAAGGAGUGCAACCUGGAGUAACACCAUUCAUAAGACGUUGAAGACAGUCUUGCAGAAUUGUUGCUUUCUCCUUCACAGUGACCAGAGCUUGCGAAGCUCUGGCUGGCCAAUUCUCAGUUCCACGUCAACCCCUAGUAUGAAGCAUCAUGUCCACGCAAAACAGCUUAUUGGAGAAUUGGGAAGAUAGUAGUUCUCCAGGAGAAUAUGUGGAUAUGAUUGCUGGAAGAAGGGAAAGGAAUGGGUGGCAGAAAAAAAA